AUUGAACGCUGGCGGCAGGCCUAACACAUGCAAGUCGAGCGAGCGGCGGACGGGUGAGUAAUGUCUGGGGAACUGCCUGAUGUAGUGGGAUAACUACUGUAAACGGUAUCUAAUACCGCAUACCCUCAGAUGUGCCCAGAUGGGAUUAGCUAGUAGGUGGGGUAAAGGCUCACCUAGGCGACGAUCCCUAGCUGGUCUGAGAGGAUGACCAGCCACACUGGAACUGAGACACGGUCCAGACUCCUACGGGAGGCAGCAGUGGGGAAUAUUGCACAAUGGGCGCAAGCCUGAUGCAGCCAUGCCGCGUGUAUGAAGAAGGCCUUCGGGUUGUAAAGUACUUUCAGCGGGGAGGCGUUACCCGCAGAAGAAGCACCGGCUAACUCCGUGCCAGCCGCCGCGGUAAUAC
rnacentral:rRNA from 1 species